AAUGUCUCCUCUCGCUCCGUCUGUCUCGGACGCCGCGUGGAGCUCCAGCGGAUCGCCGAGCGCUCACGCCCCGCAGUCGGCGAUCCCCCGCCGGGCGGUCCGUCAGAUGGUGACCGGAGGAGCCGGAGGAGCCGGAGGAGCCGGACGCGGCGGACUGCCUCUGACCGACAGCGUGUUUGACGCCACCAGAUACGUUGAUGUCGCCGGUCCUCACGGAUCCUCUCCUCAAAUCGCUUCUCAGCAGUCUGCGCGCAGAUUCCUGGUGACGCCCGGGUCCCUCGGGACUCCGCUGAUUGGCAGGGUCCUUAAUUGCGACCACCUCUUUGUGAAUAAUAGAUGCUCGUCUACCUAAGUGGAGUGAUGAAAUAUUAAGAGGCCAAGAACAUGCUAUGCAAGUCUAUUUUCGAAGAGGACAAGACCAGGAAACAAGCUAGUCAAAGAAUCUCCUCGGUUCAGCGGGAGGCUCGUGUUGUUGAUGCUUGGCUCCAGGCUUUCAGAUUAGCACGUUUGUCUUGCACGAGAAAUCCCUGCUGGAAAACUCUUCUGAAUGAUGUGUUUUUGCCAAAGUACGACGCCCUCCCCGCCCAUUUCCUCAAGUCUCCCUGACAGAUUCAAACUCGCCUUGGAGCUGCUUCAUCAGGUGAAGCCUGCAACACCCAGACCUCGUUCCGUUCUUUUAUUUUGGAGGUCACUACUUUGGAAAUGAAAUGGAUAUGACAGUGGAGAAGCCAUAGCAACCUGCGGCACAAAGUGCCUGGAAGAGAAAGAGAUGGACCCCUUUACGGUGCGUGUGUCUGAUGUGAACUAGGCGGCCCAUCGGUUCCUUGGUGUGUGCACCACAACUGGAACCGGAUCUGGCAGAGCAGAGCCCAUCUUCCAAAAGACUGGUGCCACCUUACGAGACAGUAACAGUCCGUGCUGCAACUGUGCUGGCCUCUCUGUAGACAAUGCAGCCGUGAACAUCGGACAACACGAUUGAAUUGCAUCACGAAUUCUACAGAAAAACAGCAGUGUAUUUGCUCAUGGUUGCUCCUGUCGUGGUUUUUACGCAACACGGCAAAGCAAGCAGGUCUUGCCUUUGCUGAGAGGAUGUCGCGGUUCACUUGGACUUUUGGUUUGAAGCGCAAGGGCUUUCUGGC